GAUGAACGCUGGCGGCGUGCCUAAUACAUGCAAGUCGAGCGAACGGACGAGAAGCUUGCUUCUCUGAUGUUAGCGGCGGACGGGUGAGUAACACGUGGAUAACCUACCUAUAAGACUGGGAUAACUUCGGGAAACCGGAGCUAAUACCGGAUAAUAUUUUGAACCGCAUGGUUCAAAAGUGAAAGACGGUCUUGCUGUCACUUAUCGAUGGAUCCGCGCUGCAUUAGCUAGUUGGUAAGGUAACGGCUUACCAAGGCAACGAUGCAUAACCGACCUGAGAGGGUGAUCGGCCACAUUGGAACUGAGACACGGUCCAGGCUCCUACGGGAGGCAGCAGUAGGGAAUCUUCCGCAAUGGGCGAAAGCCUGACGGAGCAACGCCGCGUGAGUGAUGAAGGUCUUCGGAUCGUAAAACUCUGUUAUUAGGGAAGAACAUAUGUGUAAGUAACUGUGCACAUCUUGACGGUACCUAAUCAGAAAGCCACGGCUAACUACGUG
rnacentral:rRNA from 1 species